UACGGGGGGGGCAAGCGUUGUUCGGAAUUACUGGGCGUAAAGGGCGCGUAGGCGGCCUGCUAAGUCGGACGUGAAAUCCCUCGGCUUAACCGAGGAACUGCCCUCCAACUGCGUUGCUUGAGGCCGGGAGAGGUGAGUGGAAUUCCCAGUGUAGCGGUGAAAUGCGCAGAUAUCAGGAGGAACACCAUGGCGAAGGCAGCUCGCUGGGACGGUACUGACGCUGGAGGCGCGAAGCGUGGGG
rnacentral:rRNA from 1 species